rnacentral:piRNA from 1 species
UUUAAACUGAGAAGCUUGGAGUGUCU